rnacentral:rRNA from 1 species
UGGGGAAUUUUGCACAAUGGGGGAAACCCUGAUGCAGCGACGCCGCGUGAUUUAGAAGGCCUUUGGGUUGUAAAAAUCUUUUCUAUGGGAAGAAAAUGACAGUACCAUAGGAAUAAGGACCGGCUAAUUACGUGCCAGCAGCCGCGGUAAUACGUAAGGUCCGAGCGUUGUCCGGAAUCAUUGGGCGUAAAGGGUACGUAGGCGGGUAAGCAAGUUAGAAGUGAAAUCCUAUAGCUCAACUAUAGUAAGCUUUUAAAACUGCUCAUCUUGAGGUAGGGAAGGGAAAGUGGAAUUCCUAGUGUAGCGGUGAAAUGCGCAGAUAUUAGGAGGAACACCGGUGGAGAAGGCGGCUUUCUGGACAGAAACUGACGCUGAGGUACGAAAGCGUGGGUAGCAAACAGG